rnacentral:sRNA from 1 species
GGGGGGAUUCAAGUGCUUAGAGAUCGAAGUCUGUCCUGGGUAGGGGGAGUCAGACAAUUGGAAAGCCUAGGUAGUUAUUUGGGGAGGGGUCUCUACGCCUUGGCGAAGCGCACAGCUGCAUCUUUUUGGCUUGAGGCCUGAGGCCUUGUCGAGAAGCUUCCGUGAAAGGGUGGGCCAGCCGGGCCACGAGAAAGAAAGUGAAUAAAUCAGGAAUAUAAGUGGGCGGGGGGCCCCUGAGAGGGGGGUCGCAAAGGGUGAGACAUGGCCACCAGGCGUUUAACCGACGCUUUCUUGUUGUUGCGGAAUAAUUCCAUCCAAAAUCGGCAGCUGUUAGCCGAGCAAGUGAGUAGUCACACCACCUCCAGCCCUCUGCAUUCACGUAGCAUUGCUGCGCUUGCUGAUGACCGUAUGGCACUGGUGUCAGGCAUCAGCUUAGAUCCAGAAGCAGCGAUUGGUGUGACAAAACGGCCACCUCCUAAGUGGGUGGAUGGAGUGGAUGAAAUUCAGUAUGAUGUUGGCCGGAUUAAGCAGAAGAUGAAAGAAUUGGCCAGCCUUCAUGACAAGCAUUUAAACAGACCCACCCUGGAUGACAGCAGCGAAGAGGAACAUGCCAUUGAGAUAACUACCCAAGAGAUCACUCAGGCAUGAAGAAUCGAGAGGAAAGAUCCCAGCAUUUUUUCGACACAUCAGUACCACUAAUGGAUGAUGGAGACGAUAACACUCUUUACCAUCGGGGUACAGUCCUUGACAGAAUUGACUAUAACGUUGAACAGUCCUGUAUCAAAACUGAAGAUGGUUUGAAACAGCUUCACAAG